ACUACUAUAGAUAUGAUGUAGGCCUCUCCUGGUGAGUUCUGAAAAGAAACCUUUGGAAGUUUUUAUUGCAGAUUCAAAUUUCGAUUGAUAUUAUGUGCUGGGCAAAAUAACAUUAGAAUACAGGCCAGCAUUCAGACGUUGGCUGACGUGUGUUGUCAUUGUUCCUUACCAUAGUAAGCGGUGCAAAGCGGCACAGAAAUGUGGUCGGAAAAACGAGCUAAACCAACUUUUGAGUCGUUGCUUUGUCACUUUGGUUUGUUAGCAGUGUGAUGAACAUAUUUAUCAAAUAAGUCUGGAUGCUAAGACAAGCUUUGGAGCUGUUUAUAUCAAACACGAGUGAGGCUGGACGCUGAACACACCUGCGACGCAAAGGUAACGCUAACGAGCUAACGACGCUCAUUCUAAAGGGGCUAUCGAUUCAAGUUUCCCUGACAUGAGCUGUGGGCCCCUGAAGGUACCGCUGGUAGAGGGGCGGGGUUGGUUUGUUUCCGUCAGUAAGACUCCUGAGGUCUGUACUACGAAGGGAGUUUAACCUACUCGGAUUUAACUCGGGGUUAUCAAGGAAACAAACCCUGACUGCCUCGAUCUGUGUUAAACGGUACGACGGUGGUUCAGAUGUCGGGCUCAAACUUCACAGAAAAAAAGAGACUGACAUGAAAAUUCACAAAAGGUAUUUCUGCCUCUGGAGCUGUAGAGUCUGAUCUGUGAUGACAAGUCUCCUGCUUCUCCUACAACUCCACUCAACACCUGCUGCUAUAAUUAGAAAUGACUUAUACUGCUAUUAGUUGUAUUGCUAUAUUAGCAGUUAAUACUUUAAUUAUCACUGCUAUCAUUACUACUGCUGUAUUACUGGCAUCACCUUACAUUUUAUUGGAACCUGUGUUAUGCUAUGUUCUUCUCUCGCUAUCCCCCACCCCCACCCCCUUCCUCUCCUGUUGUUGUGAUUUGGUGCUAUAUAAAUAAAAUUGAAUUGAAAUUGAAUUGAAUUAUAUAAAUAAAAUUGAAUUGAAUUGAA